UGACAGUUCAUUGUCCAAGCAGCUGUGUUGAUGCGACUACUUGUAUUCUUCUUCCAUGAGAUGGACUUACUUGCCGACCUUCAGGGUUACCGUUGUGCGACUAAAAUUGCAAUUUGUCACCUUUUUGACACCCUGUGUUUUUAUGUAAAACUUUUUAAAAGAUUUUGUGACUUUUUGGAAUUUGUGCGAAUUCUUUCCCCUAUUUUUAUGUUUUUCAUUUUUUGUAAAGGUUAUAAGCAGAAAAUGUUUGACACGAACUUAUAAGGUUCAAGUCCAUAGAAGGCUUUUUGAAGGCUUAAAGUUCAUUGUCCCAGUAUCUGCGUCGAUGCGACUCCCAAAUGACGAAUAUAGGAGACAAACUAGAGCUCGAUAGUGUCCACAUUUCACCUGUAAAUCGCAUCAGAUAUAGCCACCAGCCCAUCAUAGAACAUAUACUAAAGGAAGAAUAAGAAGACAACCUGUGUAGCAGAUGAAAUUUUUAGAAUAUUCCGUAUUUAUAAAGAUGACUUCUUGAAGCCUUCUACAGU